AUUUUUGUCUAGUAUUCAUGUUAUAGACAUCAGAAUUUAAUUUGAAUUUAUCUUUGUUGUAAGACUUUGUUGUAAAUUAAGACCAAGGAACCUUACAUUACAAUUUUACCCACUUAAAAUUUAACAAAAGGGCAUAAAAAAUUGAAAAGCAUCUUUUUUUAGCAGUAUCUAUCAUUAAAAACUAGCACUGUUGGCAGUUCUUGAAUUACAUGUGGCUGGCAUGUUUACUAUAAUUUGCAUAAAAGUUUGCAAAAAAAAAAAAUAUGGAACAUAACACACGAACAGUGUAGUUAGUUUCAACUUACAUCUAAACGGUGUGGGAUUUAUCAAAUCAAGUACUAAACAUUGUAAUUAUAAAAUUAUAAUUAUAAUUAUUCCCAAAGAUAUUUAUGGGGGUCUGUCAGCCAUGUCAGCCAUGAUAGUAAAACAAAACUGCGCGUGGUAAAACAAGUCUAAGAGAACGAACAUGGUUACCAAUUAAUUCAAAUCACAGAAUAUUUGGUUACAGAUUAAUUUUUGAAGAUAAACAAGAUUUCGAUUUGAGGUUUUCACCGCACGGCGGUGACUACUGGGGGUUGUAACGCCGUAUAGUAUGGAGCCGUACGGUCUGUUCUAGCAAUUUCGGAGGCACCUUUCAACAGACUCUCUUUUUCCUGUUGCUCCAACUUUGGAGCAUAUGGCAUCCGUGAAUUCUUACUCCUUAGAGCUCAUUAUCUCCUUAGACAGUCGGUAGGGUCGGUAGGUGUCCUUGUCUGGGGGCAGGAAAGCUUUGAUCAUAGAAAUGUCUCGUGUUUGGAAAACAGAAACUGCCCACAUUCAAGAAAAUGUGACAAGGAUAGUAUGUUUGCCUAGCAACGGCGAGUAAAUAGCUGUUGCUAGGCAAAGCGAGUAAACACAUGUUGCUACGCAAAGCGAGUAAACAGAUCUUGAAAGGCAGAUCGAGUAAACGGCUGUUGCUAGGCAACACUCCUUCACUCCUGUGAAGGACGUGUUGAGUGGUAGUGUGCGAAACUGAGAGCUCCUUAGUUUAAGUACAAAAGAGCAGUUUAGUUCGGCAAUCUUCACAGUCAGCUGGUCGUGCAAAAUGAAGAAAUUUUGAAAUCUGUUGGAACUGCCACAAAGACAUCUUUUGUCCGUACCAUGAAGUGUGAAAUAGGGGGCUAGUGGACCAGUUGUCUUCAGUUUCAGGGCAUUUGUUGAUUCCUGUCAUGAACACAAUUCCUAAGUAUGUCCAGAUUUCAUCUGGUGUGACAUAUUUGUAAUUGUGUUCUUGAGAGUGUGGAGCUAACUCGUGUGUUGAAGUGCUGGAAAGUAUUACAAGAUUUGGGAAUACUCUCAGCAUUCAGAGCUAUUCUUCAUGUUCCAAAUAUAUCACAGGCAAAACAUUUAAUGGUUGUUCUUGAACGGUCCAGUGUUUUCUCUAAAGACGAUUUAUCAUCAAUAUAUCACAAGAUACAUGGUCACAGGGUGUUCAUUGGCAUGAAGAAACUGCUGGAUUUGAUUGGCAUGGUUCGCCAGGUGGAGGAGCAGAAUAGAGUUGUGACAUUCCUUACUAACCUUGAAGACUUUACUAAACUUUCAGAAGAAGAACUAGGCGUGGGUUCGCCUAGAAACUAAAAUCACAUUUUAUGGAAGAGACAAGUGUCACAUUAGAAUGUUUUCUCAAUAUCAUCCUUUAUUUCAAAAUUGGAAUCAUACAGGGUAUAAGUAUUACUUUAUUAUUCCAAUUAUGUACCUAAAGAGAGCAUAAUUUAUAAUUCAUUACACUACAUAAAAUGUGUUUUUGUUUAUUGUUGUGUUAUAGUCAGGUCACUCGUAGAAAUACUGACUAGAAGUUUGGAAACUGUAAAAAUUCCAUUGAUUAGAUUUUGAUGUGUAAUAUCCUGCUUCCUCCUGCAAGGAAGAUGCAGUUGCUAGCAAUAUCAUCCCUUAUUUCAAAAUUGGAAUCAUACGGGCUAUAAGAAUUGCUUUAUUAUUCCAAUUAUAUACCUAAAGAGAGAAUAAUUUAUAAUUCAUUACACUACAUAAAAUGUGUUUUUGUUUAUUGUUGUGUUAUAGUCAGGUCACUCGUAGAAAUACUGACUAGAAGUUUGGAAACUGUAAAAAUUCCAUUGAUUAGAUUUUGAUGUGU